GGUCAUACGUAGGCAUCGAGUCCCUGAUCGACUGAAAAAAGAACCAAUAUCCAUUGUAUAUGUACAUAUCAUUACAUAGAAUGUUAACAAAUUAUAUUACUGAGAGGAAAUCAGACUCUCAACACUGACCCAUUUCCAUUGUAUAUUUAAAAUGUUAAAAUAUUUUAUGAACUGUUUUUAUUCAAAGUAUAGAUAGGUUGUGUAUUGUUGUGAUAAACAAAUUCCAGAGAAUUCCAAAGUACUGCAGUGAAGAGCUUAGCACUGUACGAGUACACAUAAUUAGGUCAUAGUCAUAACGUAUUCACCCAGCCACCCUUCACCGUUUUAUUCAUGUUUUCAUUUUAUAUUAUUUGUAAUUACUAUUUUUUAGCUCUUUCAGUUUGUAUUGCAGUACAAUUGUGUUUUUACUAUAGCGAGCUGUGCAUCAUAUGCUGUUGACUAAAUUAUUUAAAAUCAGAAGAAAUAUAGCAAUUUAUGGCACAAUUAGUUGUUCUAAAUUAUUAUAGCCAAAUUUAUAAUAUCAUAUAAACAACAUAUAACUGAAUAAAUACUCAGGCUUGUUUUGUCACAUAACUGAUUCCCCCGGGAAAACAGUUUUUGAUGUACAGCACUGCAUUGUGGGUAUAACGGCCAGAUUUCAUUUAUGGUUUAUGAUUUUAUAAUUAUUGGUGACAAGUUGUACAUAAUAUUGAUUAUGUAUUGUGUAUAAAAAAAACCCUGAACUAUAUUUUAUAUAUUUUGCAAGCUGUUAAGUAGUCUCAUUGCCUUUGUAAUCAUUGUUGCUCUGUUUUCCCAUGCAUUUUUCCAUGUUGAAUAAAUUAUAAUGUGUU
rnacentral:misc_RNA from 1 species